rnacentral:misc_RNA from 1 species
AACGCACCUUGCACCCUUUGGUAUUCCGAGGGGUACACCCGUUUGAGUGUCAUUGUAAUCUCACUCCGACGACCUUUUGGUCGUCUGGAGGUGGACUUGGACCCUGUCGUGUAACAAACGGCUGGUCUGAAAUGCAUGAGUUGCACCCUGCUGUAGCAGCGUCUUCAGUGUGAUAAGUAUCCUCACUGAUUCAAGUUCCCCUUGUGGGACACGCUCGUCUGGCAGGCUCUGCGCUUCCAACCGUCCUCUGGACAGAACGCUUUGACAAUUUGACCUCAAAUCGGGUGGGAUUACCCGCUGAACUUAA